GACGUAGGAGGCGAGCGUUAUCCGGAUUUACUGGGUGUAAAGCGCGAGCAGGCGGCUCGUUAAGUUGGGUGUAAAAGCUCCCGGCUCAACUGGGAGAGGUCGCUCAAGACUGGCGGGCUAGAGGGUGGUAGAGGAAGGUGGAAUUCCGGGUGUAGUGGUGAAAUGCGUAGAUAUCCGGAGGAACACCAGUGGCGAAAGCGGCCUUCUGGGCCACACCUGACGCUCAGACGCGAAAGCUAGGGUAGCAAACGGG
rnacentral:rRNA from 1 species